ensembl:snRNA U6 U6 spliceosomal RNA
CUGUACUCAGCAGCAGGUAUGCUAAAUUGGAAUAAUACAGAAAAGAUGAGCACGGUUCCUGUGCAAGGAUGGCAAUGCAAAUUUGAGGAAAAAUAUGGAAAUGA